UAUUAGAUAAAAAACCAAUACAUGCUUUUAAAGUAUGGAAUUUGGUGAUUUACAAUAACUUAGCAAAUCGCAUAGUGAAAACAGGCGAUAAAUCAUUCAAGUUUCUGACCUAUCAGCUUUCGACGGUAUGGUAUUGGCUUACCGUGGCAGUGACGGUUAACGGGGGAUUAGGGUUCGAUUCCGGAGAGGGAGCCUGAGAAACGGCUACCACAUCUAAGGAAGGCAGCAGGCGCGCAAAUUACCCAAUUCUAACAGCAUAAGAGAGGUAGUGACAAGAAAUAACAAUACAAGGCAGUUAAAAUGCUUUGUAAUUGGAAUGAUAGAAAUUUAAACACUUUUUAAAGUAUCAAUUGGAGGGCAAGUCUGGUGCCAGCAGCCGCGGUAAUUCCAGCUCCAAUAGCGUAUAUUAAAAUUGUUGCAGUUAAAAAGCUCGUAGUUGAAUUUCUGCUAAAAAUAACCGGUCUGCUUUUAAUAAAGGUGGUAUCUUGGUGUGUUUUUAGCAAUAAUGUCCUUUGAAAUGUUUAUUACUUCAUUGUAAUAAAUUAUUUUCAGGAUUUUUACUUUGAGAAAAUUAGAGUGUUUCUAGCAGGCUAACGCUUUGAAUACUGCAGCAU
rnacentral:rRNA from 1 species